UACGGAGGGUGCAAGCGUUGUCCGGAAUCAUUGGGCGUAAAGCGCGUGUAGGCGGCCCGAUAAGUCCGCUGUGAAAGUCCAGGGCUCAACCCUGGGAUGCCGGUGGAUACUGUCGGGCUCGAGUCCGGAAGAGGAGUGUGGAAUUCCUGGUGUAGCGGUGAAAUGCGCAGAUAUCAGGAGGAACACCAAUGGCGAAGGCAGCACUCUGGGACGUGACUGACGCUGAGACGCGAAAGCGUGGGGAGCAAACAGG
rnacentral:rRNA from 1 species